rnacentral:rRNA from 1 species
UACGUAGGGGGCAAGCGUUGUCCGGAAUUAUUGGGCGUAAAGCGCGCGCAGGCGGUUCGUUAAGUCUGAUGGUAAAGCCCGGGGCUCAACCCCGGUAUUCAUUGGAAACUGGCGGACUGGAGUGCAGGAGAGGGAAGCGGAAUUCCACGUGUAGCGGUGAAAUGCGUAGAGAUGUGGAGGAACACCAGUGGCGAAGGCGGCUUCCUGGCCUGUAACUGACGCUGAGGCGCGAAAGCGUGGGGAGCAAAC